rnacentral:lncRNA from 1 species
CAUAAUUGUCAAGGAUGAUACCUCCUCCUUUGACAAUCGUCCUUCUCCAUGAGACAGGCGAGAGUUGCCUCACAUUUUUUAUGAGUAGGAUCAGAUAACUAAAUUUCCACUUAGGUUUAAUGCAAAAAUCCUUUUGGGCAUAUAUUUAAAUGAGAGCAGGGUAAAUUAUAUAUUUUAAUAUGAGUUACAAAAGAGGAGCUAACUCAUAUCACCAAUGAUUGUUUAUGAUGCAAUAAUAUAUCUGAAAACUUACCACGAACAAUCCCUUCUGUAUAAGAGGAGCCAAUGUGGUUACAAGAAGCUAGUCAAGAUCAAUUUAUUCAUUUACUUUAUGCGAAAGCUAUUUCAAGGAUCCAUUGAACAAGCCUUAUUUAUUUUAAUCCUUUCUUAGAGUCGAAAGAGGGGAAAAUCUACCUCCACUACUUUUCCUGCCAAGAAGCCUAAGAAAUACAUACCUCAAUAGGUUGAGUCGUCUUAUGACAACACUGAUGGCAUGAUGUUUCCUAUUUGCGCCUUUGUUAAGCACCAAUAACAAUUAUCAAAUAAAACAAUAGAUGCAGGCUUGAGUCGUAGCAAGAAAGAAGAGGAAAUCCUUUGUUGAUGCCCCUGAUUCUCAAGUGGUUGAGACCACAAACACAAAAAAAUAUAUACAAGCACAAAAUAAUCACAAAGUAUGGCUCAAAUGAGCAAAGUGAAAUAGGCUAGGAUAAUUAGAUUCCCUUGACCAUGGAAGUAGCUAUUUGGUUUGGUUGUGUAGUGAAAAAGUUGAUUAGAAGUUAUAAUCCAUUCCUCAACUUCUCUCUCUC